GUAGGUAGCAAACACGUGUAUGUGUGGCAAGGUUUGUUACUUACUCCCAGUCGCAUUCCGCAGCCAACACGACACGCCAAGCUACAAUAUUAUUAUUAUUAUACUGGUUUAUUUCAUUAUAUCAUUCAUUAGCCAGUUGAUGGUCGAAGAAUAAUUUGUUCUUUCAAUACAUAUUUAAAGUUUAUUGUUUUUAUUAGUAUAAUUACACAUAGCUAUACAAUCUAAACAUUUUUUUCUUCAAAAUUAAUUUAGAAAUAUGUAUUAAUGUUUAUUUCUAAAUAAAUUAAAUUGUUGGAAUAUCAACGCAAAUAUCGAUAAACACACAUGCAAUUGUCAACUACAAUAAAUAUUUAGAAGUUCUACGGAGUGAUCCAGAUAGAUAAUUCGAACACUACCAGUUUAAUGUUUACACCCCAAAUGGACAAUGGUGCAAUUCGAACACUUUUUACAAGGUUAGCCAGAUAAAGGGUGCUACUUCACAUUUACUAACCUAUAGAUAGCACAGUAGUGCUAAAAAAUCAGAAGAAAAACCAUACACCUCAAUAACACACUCACCGUCACCUGAUCGUUCUUCAAUUGUUUGAAAACUACGAUGAAUUUGAAUUACAUUCACUUAUACCUACAGAAUCUGGAAGAAUAGUAGAAGAUACAGAAUCUGAGAACUGAGAUGAAACAUCGUGAUAUGAAGUCUUAAAUUCAUUAUUAAUAUCAUCAAUAAACAUUUCAUUUGAUAAGUCUACAAAUUUAAAUGAAUCUAAAGAUGCUAAUAAAAUAUUAUUAUGUUGA